AUCUUUGUGCAGUGGCAGUAUCAUAGCCUAUGAGGUUUCUCUGAGGCGUGAUUAAUGCUAAUUGAAAACUUAACCCAAUACCCAGCCUUGAUGACUUGAAACAUAAUCAGCUAUGGCAAUUUAUGGUAGUCUCCAUUGAAA